AGAGUUUGAUCAUGGCUCAGGACGAACGCUGGCGGCAUGCCUAAUACAUGCAAGUCGUACGCUGAAGCGCUCUGCUUGCAGAGCGCGGAUGAGUGGCGAACGGGUGAGUAACACGUGGGCAACCUGCCUGUAAGAUCGGGAUAACUCCGGGAAACCGGGGCUAAUACCGGAUAACCCGUGCCUCCUCCUGGAGGCGCGUUGAAAGGCGGCUUCGGCUGUCGCUUACAGAUGGGCCCGCGGCGUAUUAGCUUGUUGGUGGGGUAACGGCCCACCAAGGCGAUGAUACGUAGCCGACCUGAGAGGGUAAUCGGCCACACUGGGACUGAGACACGGCCCAGACUCCUACGGGAGGCAGCAGUAGGGAAUCUUCCGCAAUGGACGAAAGUCUGACGGAGCAAUGCCGCGUGAGUGAAGAAGGUCUUCGGAUCGUAAAGCUCUGUUGCCGGAGAAGAACAAGGACAGUAGUAACUGGCUGUCCCUUGACGGUAUCCGGCCAGAAAGCCACGGCUAACUACGUGCCAGCAGCCGCGGUAAUACGUAGGUGGCAAGCGUUGUCCGGAUUUAUUGGGCGUAAAGCGAGCGCAGGCGGUCCUUUAAGUCUGAUGUGAAAGCCCACGGCUCAACCGUGGAAGGUCAUUGGAAACUGGGGGACUUGAGUGCAGAAGAGGAAAGUGGAAUUCCAUGUGUAGCGGUGAAAUGCGUAGAUAUAUGGAGGAACACCAGUGGCGAAGGCGACUUUCUGGUCUGUAACUGACGCUG
rnacentral:rRNA from 1 species